CAAAGAGAGACCAAGCAAGUAAUCCAGCUCCUACUGAAAUGAUACAUCUAAUAUUACAAGAAUAAAACCUCCAAAAGAUAAAGCAAUUGAAAACAGAACAAAACAAGAAACAAAAAGAAAACAAGGUAAAAACUUUACUUUAAAUAAAUCCAGUAAAUUAAUUAUUUUAACCCUUCAGGAAUGCAACAGCUGGAAUUAUUCCUAACUUUCUUGAAGAUAUGGUUGCCAAGCAACCAAAAUGCACACUUUGCUUCUAAUUCUAACCACUCACUAAUAUUUGAAACAUGGGCUUUUCUUAUUUCCAUAUAGCAGAGUUUUAAAAUAAUGUUAAAUAUAAAGUAAUGCAAAAUUCCUUGUUACCAAAUUAAAACAAUAAAUUUGGCAAAUAUUAAUAUAUUUUUAUCAAUUUUUGUUAGAAGUUUUAAAUAAGGUAAUAACUUGUUUAUUCAAAUGUUUAACCCAUUUUAUUUUUUAUUUUUGUUUGCCUUAUUUUGUAUAGUUAUGAAUAGAAAUCUGGCGCCAUUUGUUUUUAAUUGUAAGUUUGUCCUGUAUGCCAUGUGCAUUGUCCUGUGUUGUAUGUGUGUGUCACGUGACUAUUUUUUAUUAUUUUUGUUUUGCUGCAACAAAAGUCAAUUUUAUAUCCUUUAAAAAAUAUAUGUAUAUGUGGUACCACACUAUUUUAAGAUCAUGGUUGGGGUAUAAUCAUAGUAUUAUUAACACCAAUUUUUUUGUGCAAAGUUCAAAAAGGUUUCAGUUACUAAUAUAGGUACAUAUAUUUCUGCCUCAACAAAUAAUGCAAUUGCAAACAAAAAGAAUUCUCUUUUAUUAAUCACAGUUUUGUUUUUUACGGGGUUUUUUUAUUUUGUGAUUCAAAGAAAAAAUGUACGGGAAACCUCAACAUUAAGGUAAAGAUAAUAUUAACAAAAUGUUAAUUUCUUGUUUGGGUUUUUAUAAACUUGUUUGCACUGUUAAAUAUAGUUAUAAGAAUGUGAUAGCAAAAAUGUUUAAAAAUAACAAUUUCUGCAUAAAGCUAACCAAACAAUUUCAACAGGUUUCCACCUUUGGCUCCCAAACAAAACAAAGCAUCAUGAAAGCAUAAUACCCUCAAAGUAUUUGCAUGGACCUGUAUUUAAAAUGUAUUUUGGUUGAAUUUUAUAGUUGGUUUAAUCUUAUACACUUUUCUUUUGUUAUGUUAUGUUCACGGCAAGCAGUCGUUGUUAAUGUUUGUGCUCCUAAACAGUUAACAAGAGUGAAAUUAGUAUCACAAGCAAAUUAACUCUAAAAAAACUUGUUAAAAAUUAUGUUAUUGACUCUUUUGCUAGCACAGAAUGUUCAGUAGGGAAAAAAAGCAAUACACCUUCUCACAGAAGAUUGUGAGAAUUUAUUUUAGCAGUUAAGCAUUACAUUUAGUAUAAAAUAUUAGUAAUGCACCUCAAAUGAAAAUGAAUGUCUAUACAACAAUUGUAAAAGUAUAGCUUGUGUUAUAAAAGACUCGGUCCCUAUUACAUUGUCCCUAUUACAUCGUAAACAAACUAAAUUAAACUUUGUCUUAAGUUUGGGUUACUGAAAACAAAAACAAACAAACAAAAAGCUUUACUAUGUUAACUAACAAAAGUUGUUUAAGUUGCAUCCUACAGGCCAAAGACACAGAAAAUAUCACACCCUGAAGACACCAGAAAAUAUCAGUAUUCGGUGAAGAAACCCCCAAACAUCAAGAAAAGAAAAAUGAAGUGCUUUAUAAAUAAGAGACUGGUCAAAUACACCUCUAUCUACCAUAUAUGGACAAUUAAGUUAACAAUCAGCUAAAAACCACUAGCUGGACCAGGAUAAACUGCAUCCGAAGAAGUGGGCUGUAGUCCACGAAAGCUUAUGCUCUAAUAAAUUUGUUAGUCUCUAAGGUGCCACCAGUACUCCUGUUCUUUUAACUUGGUUACUGUGUAAAAACAACUGUACUAUUGCUGUAUUGUAUUAUUGCUGUACAACAUUUACAAUGUGCAUGACCUUGCUAAACUGUUUAACCAACACACAGGUAAAAAUCAACAAAUGAAUGGCAGCAAACAACAUGAAGGCAAGGAAAAAAACAAAUUGGUAAAGAAAUUAAGUUACACAGUAACUACAAAUUGGGUAAACAAAUUCCGUGUUAGUACCUGUCAUAAUUUGGGUUACUGACAUUGCAUCCUAACUAAGACACAUGUUAUUCAAAACAAUCUCGCUAAGUGUCUGGAUAUCAAUACUACAUCCUGACACAGCAAUAUUUGAUAAAUUGGUUAUUGUCCAUUCAGUACGUUUUCUGGAAAACAACAUCCAUAAAAACAACUGGAUCUAUGUCAACUACUGGUGUAUCACAGAGCAGUUCAACCAAUGGAACAGAGAAGUUGCCACUUCUGUUUCCUGCCCAGUGAAGCUUACCAGAGGGUAACAACCAACAGUAAGGGUAAUCUAUAACAUGAAUGGACAGUACUAUGUAAUAACUAAUUACAAUAUAUUUAUAUAUAAAGGCCUCAAUGGUAGUGUCACUACUCCAAAUUUCUAUUUUACUUCUCAUUUACAUAGCAUUGUGGGACACAUUAUCACAAUCCCUAUCCCAGUAUUUCAAAUUGGCCUACUACUAAUAAUGAUACAGAUGGUAACUGUAAUUGCCCUAAUAAAAGUGGGUUGCUAUCUGCAGUACCACAAGGGCCAAACUACAACAUCAGAUUGGAAAAGAAUUGUUAUGCUUGGAUAUAAAGUGCUGUUAUAUGUACACAUACUUACUAUACAUAUAUGCCCGUAUACUCUACAAAUAUAUACACCAUAUCCAUAUUACUUAUAUAUAUUAAUUAUUUGGGAGUGCCUUUAUAAGACUCAAUUAUAAAACUACAUUCCUCAGUUGAGGUCUCGGGCCUAACAUUCCCAGGCCCACCAUAAGGGACUAAAAAUAAUUCGAUAAUAAAAUCUGUCUAUCAGUCGUACGAGGGAGUGUGCAGACUAAAAAGACAGAUGGGGCAUGAGUGUAUGGAUGGUAAAAUAAGGUCACCACUAACAGUGUUUAGCCCACUGGGUUAUCUUUAGUCCAUGCAUUAUGCUUUUCUGGGACGAUGGGUAAACAUCCUCCCCAUAAAAAGACAAAAAGUGGGGGAAUGCGGUAAGAUGAGGCCCUGAAACAUAAACCCUUGUAUCAGGGGCCCGGUAUGAGACCUAAGUCCUGAGCUAAAGUAAUGGUCAAGACUUCGCUAACAUAAAGCAAAGUUAAGCUGUGAGCCAGAGGCAGGCCCUGCUCACAGAAGUUGGCAAGAAGAAGGCUACUAAUUGCACGUAUACACAUAGUUAAAAGGUAUUAAGUACUAGUAGGAUGAGUAUGUGCCAGGAUGGCACCAGAACAUUCUGGUGUGAACACAUUCCACAGAGAUAAUAAGGAACAGGCUGACCCAUCUUAAAGAGAGGGUCAAAAGGAUAACAUGAUGGAUAGACUUGUUUGUUCAAACCAACAUGUAUCAGGAAAGCGGUAGCACCCUAACACGUAGAGGGGUGUGCUCAAUGUGUCAGGAGUGAUGUGUAACUUGUUUGUACCUGUGUAUAAGAAUGCAUCCCUGAGUGGAUGUCUUCGUCUGGCCUAGGGGGCAGUGGUAAAUCCUGCCACUGGCUGAGCCAGUCCAUUGUCAGGGAGCACAUAUGUACUAGCAGAACUGUAGACAUCUGAUCCGGUGAGCUAGAGACUGUGUUUCGUUUGGAAAUAAACCUGGCUGGGUGCCUUCAUACCUUA